AGGCAUUGCAUUUCAUCUCAUCAUUUGAUCAUCUGAGAAAGAUAUGGAUCGAAUAACCCAAUAUAAUCUUGGAGCUCUUUGAUCGAUCUUUGAUCAAUAUCUUUGACUCAUUUGAUGCUCGAUGAAAUCUUCAAAACACAGUAAUCAAUGCGGUUAUGGAAAACAGUUUUGACAAUGACACCGUAUGACAAUGGGUUUGGAAGGCAAACGGCAAACGAAGGUUUUCCAGCAUGAGACAGCAGUGAACACAUGAUCCAAAGUCCCAUCCAAAGUUGCGCGUUCUACUUGAAAUUGAAUAUAAAUGCUGGAAAAAAUGGAAGCCAGUCCUAGGGCCCCUCAGCUGGACAUUUUAAAUAUAUGUAUUUUAAAAAUUUGUUCCUUUGUGAUUCGUUCAGUUGAGAUGGAUUGAAGCUAAAUUCUAAUAAAAUAUCCUUCAAAAACCAA
rnacentral:lncRNA from 1 species